rnacentral:rRNA from 1 species
AAAUGAAUAGACGGGACCCCGCACAAGCGGUGGAUCAUGUUGUUUAAUUCGAAGAUACGCGAAGAACCUUACCAGGUCUUGACAUCCCCUGCAAUACUAUAGAGAUAUAGUGGAGGUUACCAGGGUGACAGGUGGUGCAUGGUUGUCGUCAGCUCGUGUCGUGAGAUGUUGGGUUAAGUCCCGUAACGAGCGCAACCCUCGUUGCUAGUUGCCAUCAUUAAGUUGGGGACUCUAGCGAGACUGCCAGUGAUAAACUGGAGGAAGGUGGGGAUGACGUCAAAUCAUCAUGCCCCUUAUGACCUGGGCUACAAACGUGAUACAAUGGCUGGAACAAAGGGAAGCGAAGGAGCGAUCUGGAGCAAAACCUCUAAAAACAGUCUCAGUUCGGAUUGAAGUCUGCAACUCGACUUCAUGAAGCUGGAAUCGCUAGUAAUCGUGGAUCAGAACGCCACGGUGAAUACGUUCUCGGGGUUUGUACACACCGCCCGU